rnacentral:lncRNA from 1 species
AAUGUGCAGUUAAACUUUUCAGCGCAUUGUUUCCCGAAAACUCCAAGCUGAAUUGUUCUCGGUUCUUUGUGAAUUAUUAGGUCAGUGCAAAAGUAAUUGCGGGUUUUGCCGUUGCUUUUAAUGGUAAAACCCACAAUUAUGUUUGUACCAGCCUGAUCCUAAGCAAUCUCAUUAUCGUCUAGAUUCUGCCACUUUUCAUUGUAUUAUUAUAUCUAUUUUUUCACUAACAGAAAUAAUUUUUAGUGUCCCUAAUGUUUAGUGUUGUGCAUAUUUUAAAAUCUUAAUGUUUUCCAAAUAAAUAAAUGAACACGAGAUUAACUUACAGGUAGAAAAAUGUAUAAAACCUCAUCAAAAAUGAUGGCUCUCUAAUCAGUAUCCUUGCUAUACAUUGUAAAGGGACAUUAAGUAUCCACCCAGCCUUUAGAGGUGGAAGACUGGCUCUACCACUUAAUGGUUGUAUAAUAGUAAACACU